rnacentral:rRNA from 1 species
AGUAGUGUCUGGGAAACUGCCUGAUGGAGGGGGAUAACUACUGGAAACGGUAGCUAAUACCGCAUAACGUCGCAAGACCAAAGUGGGGGACCUUCGGGCCUCAUGCCAUCAGAUGUGCCCAGAUGGGAUUAGCUAGUAGGUGGGGUAACGGCUCACCUAGGCGACGAUCCCUAGCUGGUCUGAGAGGAUGACCAGCCACACUGGAACUGAGACACGGUCCAG